rnacentral:rRNA from 1 species
AUGGACACUUUAAGUGUCCGUGGUAGGAGAGCGUUCUAAUUGCUGUGAAGUCAGAUCGUAAGGACUGGUGGAGCGAUUAGAAGUGAGAAUGCCGGUAUGAGUAGCGAAACAUGGGUGAGAAUCCCAUGCACCGUAUGACUAAGGUUUCCUGAGGAAGGCUCGUCCGCUCAGGGUUAGUCGGGACCUAAGCCGAGGCCGAUAGGCGUAGGCGAUGGACAACAGGUUGAUAUUCCUGUACCACCUCCUCACCGUUUGAGAAAUGGGGGGACGCAGUAGGAUAGGGUAAGCAGAGCGUUGGUUGUCUCUGUUCAAGCAGUAAGGUGUGUGCGUAGGCAAAUCCGCGUACUUUAACAUUGAGCUGUGAUGACGAGUCCGUAUGGACGAAGUUCCUGAUUUCACACUGCCAAGAAAAGCCUCUAUCGAGGUGAGAGGUGCCCGUACCGCAAACCGACACAGGUAGUCGAGGAGAGAAUCCUAAG